GUCAAUAUGUCUGUAUGUGUGUAUGUCUGUCAGUGUCUGUGUAUAUAAGUGUUUCAGUAUGUCUGUCUGUCUGUAUGUAUGUGUGCCAGCAUGUCUGUGUGUGUGUGAGUCUGUCAGUGUCUGUGUGGUUCAGUAUGUCUGUGUGUAUGUGUGUUUCACUAUGGCUGGCUGUGCGUGUCUCUGUGUCAGUACUUCUGUCAGUAUGUGUCUGUGGAUCUGUAUGUUGUCCAUGUGUGUUUAUGUGUGU